GCCAGCAUAGUUUAGUGGUCUGAGCAUUGGCCUAGGAAUCUUGGGGACCAGGGUUCAAACCCCUGCUUAGCCA